rnacentral:rRNA from 1 species
GUGCCAGCAGCCGCGGUAAUACGAACUGUGCAAACGUUAUUCGGAAUCACUGGGCUUAAAGGGUGCGUAGGCGGCUUAUCAAGUAGGGUGUGAAAGCCCCCGGCUUAACCGGGGAAUUGCGCCCUAAACUGACGAGCUGGAGUGGGACAGGGGUGUGUGGAACUUCCGGUGGAGCGGUGAAAUGUGUUGAUAUCGGAAGGAACGCCGGUGGCGAAAGCGACACACUGGGUCUCAACUGACGCUGAGGCACGAAAGCCAGGGGAGCGAACGGGAUUAGAUACCCUCGUAGUCC